rnacentral:lncRNA from 1 species
AUGAACCCUCCAGCUUGGUGGAUGUGCUGGAGUGAAUCAGAAAGGGCAAGUUUCCUGAAGGCCUGGGUCACCAGCGUGGAAAGCUGUGCCACAGCACGCGUGCCCCUCUGUCAGUCGGCACGAGGUCCCUGCAGGUGCCUGCUCUCUGUGCACCUGGGAACAGCAACUGCAAACCCGAGUGGGUGCCUGCCAGCACACAACAUCCCUCUCACGCGAAGUAAUGCCCUCCUCAUCCCGCAAAGUUUCUUGAAAAGCAGAAAAGGACUACUGACUACCUCAAGAAAUGUCCUGAAAUAAUCCAAAAUGAAUGCCUAUAGAAUGCAAAUUACACUUUUUCUGUCAGAGAUGAACCUUUCAGACCAUGUUCUAAGGCAGACACCCUAGCACUGUUUCUACCCAUCUUCCCUUGAGACAGGUAAGGAAAUCCAUUUCCCACUUAUCAUAUUUUUCAUGAGCUCAGCAACUGCAGCAUUACCUCAAAUGCUGGCAAAGACUGCAGUGAUCCUGAGUGAUCCUGCAUGAAGAACACCAAAUCCAGUGGCAUAGUAACACAAAUGCAGAAGCACGCCUAAAAAACAUCUUAGAACAUUCUCUUAACUGAGGGAAUAUAUAUCAGUUUCUCAGCAUACAUUUUGUACUUCUUGUGCCCAGCCCAAGUCAAAAACUGUAUGUCUGAAGGCUGAGAGCUCAAAAUCCAUGCAUUUGUCUCCUCUAGCAGUAUAUUUCUCUUGCUUUGGAUUUUACAAUUUAGAAUACAGAAUGUAAACAUUAUAAAGAAAAUGGAGAAAAGUGCAUCUUACAAAGAUUUAACUGUUUUUAACAUGAUUCUAGCUUUUCAGAAUGAAACAGAAUAAAACCUCUCUAAAGCACCA